AGCAGACGCUUGAAAAUGAGACAGGCACUUCCAAGAACUGGUAGGACAGAGAAGAAAGCCGCCUGUGUUAUCGUUUUGCUUGGGUCUGUUUCUGCUGCUAAGACUGUGCUUUCAGAAUCUGAGGAUUCACGUUAUUUCAUCAGUUCUGGGGAUCUUCCCAGCCGAGGAGCAAACCCAUGUCUCUUAGGUCUCCUACGUUGACAGGUGGACUCUUUACCGCCAGCACCGUCUAGGAAGCCCAGUGUCGAGACAGUGGCGCCAAUCUGCUGUCGAGGUUUAAAUGAGGUAAACUGAAGGACUGAGUUUGAGCCUGGUGACAGCGAUCGUUCAGCAAACAUCUGUGACUUCUGCUUUGUCCAUCCUCCUAAAUUAAAUGCCAUUUCACCUGUUUCUAAUAUAGGGCCCUUGCAACAAGUGCCAAAAGUUUAACAGAUUAU
ensembl:lncRNA